GAUGAACGCUAGCGGGAGGCCUAACACAUGCGAGCCGAGCGGUAUUGUUUCUUCGGAAAUGAGAGAGCGGCGUACGGGUGCGUAACACGUGUGCAACCUGCCUUUAUCUGGGGGAUAGCCUUUCGAAAGGAAGAUUAAUACUCCAUAAUAUAUUGAACGGCAUCGUUUAAUAUUGAAAGCUCCGGCGGAUAGAGAUGGGCACGCGCAAGAUUAGCUAGUUGGUGAGGUAACGGCUCACCAAGGCGAUGAUCUUUAGGGGGCCUGAGAGGGUGAUCCCCCACACUGGUACUGAGACACGGACCAGACUCCUACGGGAGGCAGCAGUGAGGAAUAUUGGUCAAUGGGUGCGAGCCUGAACCAGCCAUCCCGCGUGAAGGACGACUGCCCUAUGGGUUGUAAACUUCUUUUGUAUAGGGAUAAACCUACCCUCGUGAGGGUAGCUGAAGGUACUAUACGAAUAAGCACCGGCUAACUCCGUG
rnacentral:rRNA from 1 species